GACGAACGCUGGCGGCGUGCUUAACACAUGCAAGUCGAACGGAAAGGCCCUGCUUUUGUGGGGUGCUCGAGUGGCGAACGGGUGAGUAACACGUGAGUAACCUGCCCUUGACUUUGGGAUAACUUCAGGAAACUGGGGCUAAUACCGGAUAGGAGCUCCUGCUGCAUGGUGGGGGUUGGAAAGUUUCGGCGGUUGGGGAUGGACUCGCGGCUUAUCAGCUUGUUGGUGGGGUAGUGGCUUACCAAGGCUUUGACGGGUAGCCGGCCUGAGAGGGUGACCGGCGACCAUGGGCCUGCGAGACGGCCCAGACUCCUACGGGAGGCAGCAGUGGGGAAUAUUGCACAAUGGGCGGAAGCCUGAUGCAGCAACGCCGCGUGCGGGAUGCCGGCCUUCGGGUUGUAAACCGCUUUCGCCUGUGACGAAGCGUGAGUGACGGUAAUGGGUAAAGAAGCACCGGCUAACUACGUG
rnacentral:rRNA from 1 species